rnacentral:rRNA from 1 species
UACGUAGGGGGCAAGCGUUAUCCGGAUUUACUGGGUGUAAAGGGAGCGUAGACGGCGAUGCAAGCCAGAUGUGAAAGCCCGGGGCUCAACCCCGGGACUGCAUUUGGAACUGUAUAGCUAGAGUGUCGGAGAGGCAGGCGGAAUUCCUAGUGUAGCGGUGAAAUGCGCAGAUAUUAGGAGGAACACCAGUGGCGAAGGCGGCCUGCUGGACGAUGACUGACGUUGAGGCUCGAAAGCGUGGGGAGCAAACAGG